AAAAACUGCGUCACUUUUGGGUCGAAAACAACUCGUCUCUCGGCUCUGUACCGCAUUUUGAAUCGUCUGCAUAAUUAUUUCCUUUGAUCUUACUGUCGUUUUUGUUGCGACGAAUCAUGGCAUCCUGGCACGAAGGUAGUGAUCGCCUGAAAAAAAUCAAGGAAGAACGCCUACGCCUCAGCGAAGAGGUGCUGGAACUGUUGGAAAAUGUUUUUGGACAAAAAGCGAAGAACCUGGGAGACGAAGGUUUGACGAGGCGGACCACAUGUACGAACCGCUGAUACAGCAGGAUGAAACCGACACAGUACGAGACGGCAUGAGCAUCAUAAUAAUCCCUUAUCCAAUCUCCAGUUUAUGAAUAAAAUACGUUAUGUUCGAAAUCAUGCGAAUUGCUCAUUGCUAAAAAUUGUGUCCGAUCAUGCCCAGGAGCCUAAUGAGCCAAAGGAUAAUGAAAUUGGCGUUUGUGCAAGAUGAUAACAGCUUGUCGCGCGUGCCGAACCAGUAUGCAAAGGCACAGCUUCCCAAAUGAGAUCGGAUACGUGUGAUUACGAUCGCGAUUGUAUAUGAUUAUUUUUACUCUUCAACAACAGUUUGACUCUUAUUUUUUGCCUUUCUGCGAAUUCUGGAAUUAUUGUUGGUAUAUCAAUACUUUUAUGUUAAUGUAGUGGGAUUUCAUUGCAAUGGAAUUUGCGUCUGUAAAAGAAGAUAAUAUUUUCGGGAAAGCGGCUCUGCUU